UACGUAGGGGGCAAGCGUUGCCCGGAUUUAUUGGGCGUAAAGGGCGCGUAGGCGGCCACGCACGUCCGUUGUGAAAUCGCCCGGCUCAACUGGGCGGGGUCAGCGGAUACGGUGUGGCUCGAGCAAGCUAGGGGGCAAUGGAAUUCCCGGUGUAGUGGUGGAAUGCGUAGAUAUCGGGAGGAACACCAGUGGCGAAGGCGACUUCCUGGCCUGUUCUUGACGCUGAGGCGCGAAAGCUAGGGGAGCAAACGGG
rnacentral:rRNA from 1 species